rnacentral:rRNA from 1 species
GAUGAACGCUGGCGGCGUGCCUAAUACAUGCAAGUCGAGCGAACAGACGAGGAGCUUGCUCCUCUGACGUCAGCGGCGGACGGGUGAGUAACACGUGGAUAACCUACCUAUAAGACUGGGAUAACUUCGGGAAACCGGAGCUAAUACCGGAUAAUAUAUUGAACCGCAUGGUUCAAUAGUGAAAGACGGUUUUGCUGUCACUUAUAGAUGGAUCCGCGCCGCAUUAGCUAGUUGGUAAGGUAACGGCUUACCAAGGCAACGAUGCGUAGCCGACCUGAGAGGGUGAUCGGCCACACUGGAACUGAGACACGGUCCAGACUCCUACGGGAGGCAGCAGUAGGGAAUCUUCCGCAAAGGGCGAAAGCCUGACGGAGCAACGCCGCGUGAGUGAUGAAGGUCUUCGGAUCGUAAAACUCUGUUAUUAGGGAAGAACAAAUGUGUAAGUAACUAUGCACGUCUUGACGGUACCUAAUCAGAAAGCCACGGCUAACUACGUG